rnacentral:lncRNA from 1 species
AAAUGUCAAAAACCCUAAAACCUAAACCCUAAACCAUAUACCACCAAACCCUAGUAUUUAAAUAACUUUUUCUUUGGCUGACCCCUUUUUCUCUUCCCUUCUUUUUCUUAUCACCUCCCCUUUUCACUAAUCUCUAUUUUUUCUCUCUUCUUCUCCCUUCUGCUACCUUCCCCUUUCUUCAUCAUCAUUUUUUCUUUUUUUUCUCUUCUCUUCUCCUCUCCUUUCAUUCCUCUUUUCAUAACCAUCACAUCAACCAUCAUGUUGGGCUAUUGAUUUCCUCCUCUUGUCAUAUAACAUUUAGUCUGCUCGGUUUCAACUAGUGUUUAGAUCUGUCGAUAAUUGAUUUUUUUCUAUUGCUAUG